rnacentral:ncRNA from 1 species
GAAAGCCGGAUGCAUGGAAACAUGCCUGUCCGGUUUGGAUGGGGGCUAACCAUAUGAAUAAUAAUUAUGGUUUUCUAUCCAUAU